rnacentral:lncRNA from 10 species
GCGGCUUUUGUACCCAGUUGCUUCCUGGCUGCUUUACGGUCGAUUUGCAGGCAGUCCGCUUUGUACAAGCCAUGGUAUAGAGGCUUCCUUAUUUACCUCCCUUAUCCUUCAGCUGGAGCUCUGCGAGCCAGAGGCAGCGCUGGCGUUGGAGAGUGAUGGCGGCAUGGCGGUGCGGCGGCGGCUGCGAACACCUUGAGGACGGGUCGCAUUAUGUUGCCCAGGCUGGACUUGAACUUCUGGGCUCGAGCAAUUCUCCCACCUCAGCCUACCAAGCAGCUGGGACUACAGGUCUGCACCACUGCACCCCACCCAUUCAAGUCCACAUCCCCAGAAACGAGGAUAAUGCUUGGCACAAGGUGUUUAUAAUUCCCUUGGUUUUCUUCACAAUUUCACCACAUAAAUGAGGAAAAGUUUGAAUACCUUCAUCUUAGAUUGGCAAGAGAAGGGGGAUAAUAGUCUCACCAAAAGGAAUAGAAGUGUAAGUCCUGAAAAGAAAAAAAAAAAACGUGAUUUUAUCAGAAGAAGGAGAAGAUAGUGUAGUGGACAAUCAUAGACAAUAGAUGCUCACUUCAGUACCUAGGUGCUGUGACUGGAAGUUACUGAAGGAG